rnacentral:misc_RNA from 1 species
GGGUUUAAGGCCUCGGAGUCCCCGUCGCCAAUGGAGUCCAAAUCCGCCCGCCGCUUCAAGAUCGGCAGGCAGUCGUCGCUCAAGCCGGACAACGCCGCCGACGAGGAAGACUCUGACGGGAUCGAGAUCCCCGAUGGCAUGGACAUCAACUUCCGCCUCAUGUGCCUCGCCAGUGAGGGAGACGCCGAGGGGAUCGAGGAGUUGCUCGACUCGGG